rnacentral:lncRNA from 1 species
UACUUCUCACUCUUUGGGUCCAUGUCAUCUUUAAGGGCUGUAACACUCACUGCAAAGGUCCCACGGCUUCAUUCUUGAAGUCAGCGAGACCACGAACCCACCAGAAGGAACAAACUCUGGACACACUACUAGCCCAUCUCAAUCCAGUUAUUUCAAGCAAAGUGGCCAGGUAGGCUCCAAAGGCUGUAUGUAGAAGGGAACAUAUCACCCAGACCCUCAGUUUGAGAAUUAAAGACUGGGUCAGUAGUUGAGAGUAUUGAAGCCUGCAUGAGGGAAUAUCAUGUUUUCUUACAUCAAAAGUCAAGCAAAGAUACCUGAGCCACAAAUAGCCACUUCCUACGAUCACACCUGAGGCUACCCCUACAGAGAACUCCAACCUUAUGCACAAUAAUAACAUCAGGAAAUUAACGAGGUAGUUAUUCUGGAUAGGUCUGGUGUGGGGCCUAGAAAAAUCUGCAUCUUAAUCAGCAGCUCUGGUCUUUCUGAGGCAGGCAGUUCACAACUACCAAACGAGAGACCGAGUUAUGACUCCUGUGAGUAGAGCACAGCCCCAGCAUGCACUUCUCUCAUUCUGCAGCAUGGUUGUGAACAUAUUUGGACCAGGAGGCAUCUUUUCAAGAGUCAAGAGAAACAAGGAAUGGUGGAGGCUCAGUCCUUGUUUUCGGUUAUUGGGGAACAGGUGAUGUUUGGUUACAUGGGUAAGUUCUUCAGUGGUGAUUUGUUAAGAUUUUUGGUGCACCCGUCACCCGAACAGUAUACACUGCACCCUAUUUGUAGUCUUUUAACCCUCACCCCUUCCCCUGAGUCCCCAAAGUCCACUGUAUCAUUCUUAUGCCUUUGCAUCCUCGUAGCUUAGCUCCCACUUAUAAGCAAGAAUAUAUGAUGUUUGAUUUUCCAUUCCUGAGCUACCUCACUUAGAAUAAUAGUCUCCAAUCUCAUCCAGGUCGCUCCGAAUGCCAUUAAUUCAUUCCUUUUUAUGGCUGAGUAGUGUUCCAUCAUAUAUAUAUACCACAGUUUCUUUAUCCACUCCUUGAUUGAUGGACAUUUGUGUUGGUUCCACGUUUUUGCAAUUGCGAAUUGUGGUGCUAUAAACAUGCGUGUGCAAGUUUCUUUUUUGUAUGACUUCUUUUCCUCUGGGUGGAUACCCAUUAGUGGGAUUGCUGGAUCAAAUGGUAGUUCUACUUUUAGUUCUUUAAGGAAUCUCCAUAUCCUUUGUGGCACUGAUCAAGGAAAUAGAA